UGAAGUCAAAAGGUAAGACAAACCCCCUGGGAUGGGAAUGUCCACGGGGAGGUCUUUGGAGGCGUGUGUGUGCUGAGGGUGGAGCAGACACUCUGGAAACUCUGGCUUCUGGUCAGCUUGGACUCUCAGCACUGCUUCUUAAACUAGAGUAGUUUAUGUGAGAAAUGCUUUUAAACUACACUGCCACCCUUGGGGUGAUGAGAUCCCCACCCGGGGUUGGGAUCAGCCAGUUCACGUUGCUCUGGUGAAACCCAGUGCCUCUAAUUGGAAUAUCAGAAGGGAUAGCCCACAUGCUUUAAAAUGCUAGCCUCCCUCUCCCCUUUAAAGAAAUAUAUAAAACAUUUAAUGGAGCAUGUAUAGUUGAAAAUCCACAUAUAAUAAAUGUAUGGAUGAUGUGAUUCAACUAUAUAACUUUAUACCCAUCCAUUUGAAAACCUUAGAUGAAAUGGACAAAAAUGUCAAGGAAAAUAUAAAUUUCCAAAAUUGGCCCAAGAAAAACCAAUAGAAAACACUCAUAAAAAAAUAGAGACGGCAGUUAAAGGACCAUCUACCAAUCUGCCCUUCCUUUCUGUCGUCCACAGCACAAGCCCUUGGUAGUUAUAGGCGGGUUCUCUCUGAUCCCAGGAAAGAACCCGGUUCAUCUUAUAUUGUAGAGCAGAGAAAAAUGUAGGAACUACCUCUCUUAUUUUAUAAGGCCAGUUUAUUUCUGAUACCAAGACGAGAAAAUAAAAUUACAGGCUAAUACAGGAGGAAACAAUUUGAUAAAAUACUAAGUAAUUGAAUCUAGCGGCACAUUAAAAGCAUAGUAUGUCUCAUUCAAGUAGGAUUUAUGUGAGUAACUCAAGCUUUGGGACCAGUGAGGACUACCUGUGAGCAUCCCGUGACUUACAGACUGAAGGGAGGCCCACAUGCCUGCGAUGCUACAGAGUGAGACCCAGACUCAAAAGAGAAAACAGAUAAAAAAAAGUACCCACCAUAAAAAUAUACAACCAAUGUCACACAAUCCAGGGAGCAUAUUAGGAAUAUUGUCUUAAGUAGAAAGCCUCAUUUUGCCACCUGCAUUGAUUACCUGGGGUUGCAGUUCUAGCGCCCACCUAGCCAGCACCAUGAGAGGAAGUAUAAGGGAACAUGCUGGGCAGGCGUGUAAACCUCCCAGAACAGUCUAAGUGGGAGCCUUGUUCUCUGUGCCUACCUAGCAGUCUUCACACUCCCUCAAACACAGAAGGAGCCCACUCUAGUUCCUCUCCUGUAACUCAGUCACAAACAUGAAGUAACCUCCCCUAGCUACACGUGUUAUGAGUUCAGUAGCUGAUUUUAGCCAGGUCUCCCACGGUGAGCCUUGGGUUUUGUCUAUUUCUUGGCUGCAUGCAAAGCUUUUUCGCCCGUGUCACUGUGUUCCCAGGUUCAUUUCCACAUCUUGAACUGCUAGACUAAAAAGAGCCCAGCUGCCCAGCAGAUGGACAGUUAAGAAGAUUAUGGUUUGAUCUGAACUCCGAAGCACCCUGGCAAAGGAAAGUGAUUGUUAUUCAUACAUGUACAACUUGGAUGCAUCGAGGGAGUUAUACUCAAUGAAAAAAAUGUGAUGAAAUCCCGAAUGAAAACUAUGUUUCCAAAGUUGAGAAGAUCCGAGGAGGCAACCAAAGCAAAUGCAGACAAACAAACAGAUUGUGUGAAAGACACUGUAAUGAGUGUGGAGGAAAGCCAGCUUUGGGAAGAGGGCAGAACUGUUCACGCAGAAGAGGAACGGUGGGGCUGUGUGGCAGCACUGCUUUCAGUUUCCUUUGGAGCCCAUGGCAAGUUUACCAGCGUGCACUCCCUCUACUGUGCACAAGGGCUCCUUUCACCUGCGCUCCAACGUCUGUUUCCCCUGUUUGGCAAUAGAAGAUGCAAUUAACACUCUUAGUACACUUUUAUUGUGUGCAUGUACUUAAAACAAAGGUUAUCAUUGACUCUACAGAGCUUUCAGUCUACGCGGGGAAAGAGGGAAGAAAGGAAGGAGAGGAAGAAGAGAAGAGAGAAUGAGACACAGAGAAAUAAACACACCAGACAAGUGAGAUAAUUGCAAGUUAUGGCAAGUGCUGUAAAGACAAUUAAGAAUAACCAUAUGGAAAUAAAGUGAAAAAGAUGAAAAGAAAGAAUGAUUUGGGGAGAUGAAAGGGGUGCCAUCUUGGAUAAUGUGGUCAGUAAUAUUAGAGAGAAAACUGGAGCUAUCAUGUGACCAGUGGGGAAAGCAUUUUCUGGUGAGUGAACAAGUUUCACAAAGACCUGGGUGGCAUGUCUCUGUGGGUCUGAGUAACUGAAUCAUCACGUGAUUUUGAUUGGCGAGUUAUCAAGGGAGUCGUCAGGGGGUCAAACCCUGCUAAGGAGUUGGCUGUUCCUCUGGGUACCCCUCAAAACUCCUGUUGAAAUGUGACUGACAUUGGGACAGUUUUAAAAGAUGAGACCUUAAAGAGGUGAACAGGUCAUGAGAGUGUUUCUGUAUUAAAGUCUUCACCCCCAGCGUGGGUUCCUGUCAGAAGGAAUGACCCUCAUUUCCUCCCUCGGACUCAUGUGUGCUUGCUUGCUCCUUCAACACAUGGAGAAGACCCUUACCGAAUGCUAACACCGUACU